UUUUUAUUAGAUGAUGAUUGUCACGUGUCAUGUUCUAAUUUAAUGUUAAUUCCGUGAAAGAUGAAAUAUAUUGUUGUUUUCAUUGAUCAAUCAGAACAUAACAUGUGACAAUCAUCAUCU
rfam:Glycine soja cultivar W05 scaffold1005_36, whole genome shotgun sequence.